AAAAUAGUAAUUUAUCAGAAUAUUUGACUUGCACUCAAAAUGAGCCUUGGCCUAUUUUA
rnacentral:tRNA from 1 species